GCUGAUGCUGCUCAGGCUAAGAAGGCCGUAUCCGAGCUUGCCAAAGUGGAGGUAUGCGGAAAGCGUUGUGGUGCUGCAGCUCUGGAGGGAAAUGACACUAUCUUUCUUGGAAAUAUUGACAAAAAGUGGAAGAAAGAAGAUGUUGCCAAGCUGUUAGAGGAAAGCGGUAUCGAGAAGAUUGACACUUUGACCCUCAUGGCUGAUCCUAAUAAUACAGAGCUCAACCGUGGUUUUGCGUUUCUUGAACUUGAGACCAACAGAGAUGCACAACUUGCUUACAAAAAGCUCCAGAGAAAGGAUGCUUUUGGCAAGGGUCGAAAUGUUAAAGUUUCUUGGGCGGAGCCAU
rnacentral:misc_RNA from 1 species